ACUCAGGAAACAAAAGGAAUGAGAAGAUCAUUUCAAACAAAAGUAACAUCAUAGCAAUGUAGCUUAGGGUUUGAUGACAAGCAACGUACAAAGAGCUUUGGGUUUUGGAGGGAGUUUCUUGGAGGUUUGCAGAGCAUUUAUAUGUUGUACAAAAGGUCGGUCAGUGCCGGAUAUAUCCACGAUUGAUUGAUUAACAACUCCUCCAAUCAUCAAAGCUAAACGUCGUCAUCAUCAUCCUCAGACGAGUCGUCAUCAUCAUCCUCUUCAUCGUUCUCUAUCAUAUAGUUUGACCAACUUAUGUAUCUAACAACAUAUAAAAAUCGAAGGUGGACCUACUUAUUUUUCAAUUGAAUGUAAUUGACUACCUAAUUGAGUGCCACAUAUGCAUUGGGGCCUAUUUUAAUUAAUACAAAAUUGAGGUUACAUCUUUUCAAAUGUUUCUCAAUUAAUAUAUAGGGGAUAAGCUGUGAUUUUAUUAGUUAUAUAGAUAUGCGUCUUAAUUACUACUACGCAUUAUAAAUAUUUUUUUCGUUUGUAAAAUUAAAAGGACAGUUAUCCUAAAUAGACUAUUUUCAAGUUUUCGUUACAAAAUAGAUCUUAAAGAGGAAAAUAACCAAAAUAUUUCGUUUUAUAGGUAAAAAACCCUAGUAUCCUAGAUAUAUAAAUAUACAUAAAAAAAUAAAAAAUGAAAAAAUAUAAUUUUUUGUUUUAUAGUUUCAGAUUAUAUGUUUUCAAAUUCGAACUUUUUCUAAAUUUUUUGUUGAAUUUUUUUUUGAAUUUUUUUUAAAUUUUGUUUUCAAAUUUUCUUUUUGUAAUUCGAAAACUUUUUGAAACUAUUUUUCAAAUUUUUAUUUUCAAAUUUUUAAUAUUUAAUCUUACCUCUUUAAUGAAACAUUUUGGUCAUUUUGAUCUUUAUAAUCUAUAUUUGUGACAAAAAAAAGAAUUUAGUGCUGUCGUAGGGUAUUUCUCAAAUUAAAAUUCCCCCACUAAUUAUUUAUAAAAGCUUUCAAUGAAUGUAUGAUAUUUAUAUUUAUUGUUCAUAUAUGUACUUAAAAUACUCUUAUUUAAUUCUCUUUUUUUUUUGAGCAACCCCUCUUAUUUAAUUCUCUUAAAUGUAUAUUUGAUAGUAUAGCAUCCAAAAUUUUUAAUCAUAAUAAAUCAAAAUGAAAUUUAAAUAACAUUAAAAAUAGUUUGUUUGCUAUAAGAAAAAAGAAAGAUAUAAAAGGAAUGAGAAGAUCAUUUCAAACAAAAGUAACAUCAUAGCAAUGUAGCUUAGGGUUUGAUGACAAGCAACGUACAAAGAGCUUUGGGUUUUGGAGGGAGUUUCUUGGAGGUUUGCAGAGCAUUUAUAUGUUGUACAAAAGGUCGGUCAGUGCCGGAUAUAUCCACGAUUGAUUGAUUAACAACUCCUCCAAUCAUCAAAGCUAAACGUCGUCAUCAUCAUCCUCAGACGAGUCGUCAUCAUCAUCCUCUUCAUCGUUCUCGACUU
rnacentral:lncRNA from 1 species